UAAAAAGAGAAAAAGUGAGGCGGUUUGCGCAAGAAAAGAAAAAAAAAGAAUAAAACCAGCAACUAGUUUAUCAGAAGCAGCUCAACAGCGGUUUUUCUAAGGAAAAAAACAAGAGAAAUAGGAAGAUAGAGAUAUACGAAGAAGGAGAGCAUGGAGGAAUAGAUCCUAAAAGCAGAUUCCAACAUCAAAUAGAAGUUAUUAUCUCUAAAACCUUGAACCCAAGUAGUGUUGAAGAAGACUCAAUCACUUUUCUCCCUUCUCGACUCUUACAAAUAAUUUAGUUAAAGCUGACACUUCGACCCAAGUAGAGUGAUAGACAGAGAUGACGAUGGAUCCAGUAAGCUACGCACUUGCUUUGUGUGGGCUAUCAGUUUGUUAGACUACUUUAACAUGUUAUUUUGUUAAAGUUCUAUAGUUUUGCACCAUAAGUCAGUCUUGGGAUUGUAUUUUGGUUUGUGGCUUUAGAUUGACGAUAUUUUCUAAACUUAGCAUGUUAGAGUUACUAGUAUUAUGGUGCAUUGAGCACGUGUUGAUUGAAGGCUGACAUGUUUUUUUUACUUUUGGUUUUCUCUCGGUAAAGAGGAGACUCUGCCGGAUUUUUGAUAUGGAAAGAAAAAAGGUAGGCUUGCUUAGUAGUCUUAGACUCACUUAGCGCCGGUCAUGACCCUCGUCGUGCCGUGACAGAGUUGGUAUCAAAACUUUAGGUUUAGAAUAUGACUUAAGGAGCAACGGUUUUAGUAGAGGAUUAAUUGUGUAUAUGUUGUGUACCAUAUGCACGAUCGGGGCUCGGCAGAAACUGAUUAGCACUUUUCUUUCUUAUUCAUUAUUGAAUUUUAAAAGAGUGAUAUAUGCGAUCUAGAGCCGAGUAAGCAUACUAAAAUUGUUUUUAUGUUUAUAGAUGGUAAAGACACGCUUGGCUAAUAGUGGGACCGGACAAAUAAAUAGGCACGAGGUACCACACGCUAUGUUAGAAGAAUUAUGCUUCCACCAAACUCUGGUUGGGGUCGUAGGAGAGGCCGGCAUACCUGCUAGACAAGCUGUCCACCCGAUCAGUGAAGAUGAGGUAAUACCACCCUCAUAGCCUCAAGGUGGUGGUACUACUGAUGCGAUAGCCGCAAUUCUGCAUCAAGCCAUGGAAAGUUUGCUAUAGAAGGUCCAAACACAAUCGAGGGUUAGUGCAAUGUCUGAAACGGGUGACAGCCAUAACCAGAAAGAACAUCCACUUGGGAAAUUAAUUCGGGAGUUUUUGGAGCUGAAGCCUCCCGUGUUUACAGGGGAUAGCGAGACCGAGGACCCACAGCUAUUCUUGGAUGGAAUUUAAAAAGCAUUAGAUGUGCUUGAAUGCUCUAGCACGAGGUCGGUUGCGUUGGCUGCCUAUUGUUUAUAGGAUGUUACCGAAGAAUGGCUUAAAUCUUUCAACGCAGGCCGACCAAUUGGAUCACGUCCCUUAACUUUGAAUGAAUUUUAUACUGACUUUAUUGAGCGAUUCUUGCCUAUGAGCCAUAUAGAUGCUUUGGUAGCUCAAUUUGAGGGGUUGAAGCAGACCUCAGAGAUGUCAGCGAAUGAGUAUAAUAUUCAGUUCACUCGUUUAUCUCGAUAUGCACCACAUCUAUUGGAUGAUGAUGCUAUGCAGACUAAGAGGUUCAUACGAGGUCUAAUCGAUCCAUUUUUCAAACCACUGACAUCACAUUUGACUAAGAAUGACAUAACCUACACACAGGCAGUGGAUGUUGCAAGUGAGGUAGAGGCUCGGUGGAUUGAAGGGAAGGCAACUAAAGCCUAAAAUAAGAGGACAAAGACCACAGGAUCCUUUGGAGGGGGUAUUGGUACUAGUCGAGGCACAGGAUCACAAAGCCAUCCACGGACUGCACAAAUGAGAGAAUCAUCAAUUGUCCAGUCAUCUAUCAGUGCUUCUGCCUUGAGACAAAGUCCUAGAGGCCGGUACCGACACCUGGGCAGACCAACCACACUAUAUCUACUUGUCCUAGUUGUCACAAGGUUCAUUUAGGCCAAUGUUGGAGAGAAAUUGGUGCAUGCCUUCGCUGUGGUCAGAUGGGUCAUUACAAGAGAGAUUGCCCACGCUAUCAAAAAGGGACUAACCAGGUGUCGACACCGACGAAUAGCACCCCAGCCAUCUCCGAAGCUCAGACUGCUAGGGAGAAUUCGGGAUAAGGUAGAGGCGCUGGAAACAAGGGCCCAACUAGUAGAGGAUUGGGAGAGGCCGGGAGAGGCAAACCCCGAGUUUUUGGUCUUACCAGGCAAGAUGCACAAGCAUCUAAUGCAGUCGUCACAUGUACAUUCAUAGUGUGUCAACUUGUUGUUGCUAUAUUUAAUGAUUUUAAACUGCCCUAUUUUUAUUGUGUUCAUAUGAUGUCGUAGGAUUUAACAUACAAAAUGAUGUCCCAGGUAUACAUUCGAUGUGUUCAUUUGAUGUUAUUGCUUUAAUUGACCCUGGAUCCACCCAUUCCUAUGUGUACCCAUAUUUUGCUAUGAGGUUUAACAGACUCCCAGAGUUGUUAUUAGCCCCUUUUGUAGUUGCUACACCAGUUGGGGAAUAUUUACUAGUUGAGUGAGUGUAUCCCUCUUUUCAAAUUAGUGUUGGGGAAAAUGACAUAUUAGCAGUCUAAUAUCAUUCAUGAGUACAAAUCAAAUGUUAAAUGAUGUCGAGUGAGUCAAGUUCCAUUCUACAAGGUGACCAAGGACCACCUUUGAACAGUUUAAUAUCAUUUAUGAGUGCAAAUCGAAUGUUAAAUAAAGGUUGCCUGGGAUUUUUUGGCGCGUGUCAAAGAUUCAAACAUUAUAGUGCCAGAUUUAGAGAAUGUUCAUGUGGUUAGAGAAUUCCCUAAUGUGUUUUUGGAAUAUCUACAUGGGUUACCUUUUGUUAGGAAAAUUGACUUCGGUAUUGAUCUAGUACCUAGAACAUAACCCAUAUCAAUACCUCCCUAUCGAAUGGCACCAACCGAGUUAACAGAGCUGAAGGAACAACUGCAUGAUCUAUUAAAUAAAGGUUUCAUUAGACCGAGAACUUCGUCUUGGGUCGUACUAGUUCUAUUUGUAAAGAAGAAGGAUGGGUCCAUGAGACUGUAUAGACUACCGAUAGCUGAACAAGGUCAUGAUACGCAAUAAAUACCCGUUGCCGCGUGUUGAUGAUUUGUUCGACAAACUCCAGGGUGCAAGGAGGUUCUCAAAGAUUGAUCUACGGUCAGGAUACCAUCAGCUAUUCAUCAAUGGUGAAGACGUUCCAAAGAUGGCCUUUCGAACCAGGUAUGGACACUGCGAAUUUUUAGUGAUGUCUUUUGGACUGACAAACGAACCAAUGACAUUUAUGGACAUGAUGAAUAGGGUGUUCAAACCAUACCUGGAAAAAUUUGUAAUUGUAUUUAUCGAUGAUAUCCUAAGACUUAUGAAGAGCAUGAACAACACUUGAGGAGGGUACUAUAGACACUUAGAGAACAUAAGCUAUAUGCUAAGAUUGCUAAGUGCGAACUUUGGCUAGAUCGAGUUUCCAUCCUAGGUCAUAUUAUAUCCGAGGAAGGGAUCUUAGUUGACCCAAAGAAAGUGGAAGCGGUACAGAAAUGGCCGAGGCCAACCACCGCCACCGAGAUAUGAAGCAUCUUAGGUCUUGCUGGCUAUUAUAGGCGCUUUAUACAGGAUUUCUCAACGAUACCAGCACCCUUGACGAAGAUGACGCAAAAACAUGUGAAAUUUCAAUGCUCAUAUGAAUAUCAGUGAAGUUUUCUUGAAAGUCAAGGAAUUUCUAACAACAGCUCCGGUAUUGCUGCUUCCAUCUGGAACCGAAGGAUUUUCAGUAUAUUGUGAUGCCUCCCGAGUGGGACUUGGGUAUGUUCUCAUGCAGAAUGGCCGAGUCAUAGCAUAUGCUUUGAGACAAUUGUAGAAGCAUGAGCAAAAUUAUCCGGCACAUGACUUAGAGUUGGCGGCAGUUGUAUUUGCAUUAAAGCUUUGGCGACAUUAUUUAUAUGGAGAGAAAUGCGAGAUCUAUACUGAUCACAAGAGCCUCUAGUAUAUCUUCCAACAAAAAGAUUUGAACCACCGACAAUGAAGGCGGAUUGAGCUACUAAAGGAUUAUGAUUGCACGAUAUUGUAUCACCCAAGAAAGGCUAACGUGGUGGCUAACGCAUUGAGCCGAAAGUCUAAUAAGGAGGAACCUAGCAAAAGAAAUCCACAAAUUAGAAGAUUGUGGAAAAAACUUUAGUUUGGGACAAGCGGUCUCAUUAUUGGCACAUAUUCAAGCUAGAUCGUCAUUAAUAGAGGAUAUCAAGGCAAAGCAAUAUUUGGAUUCGAAGUUGUGCAAAAUCAGAGACGACGUUGUUGCCGGUAAGGGCAAAUAUUUUACUCUAGAUAGUAACAAGGUGCUAUGAUUGGGCGAUCGUAUCUGUGUACCUGAUAUUGAUGGCUUGAGACACUCGAUACUUGAGGAAGCACAUGGCUCCAAGUACUCGGUUCAUCCUGGAUCAACAAAGAUGUAUCAGGAUCUUCGAUAGUUAUAUUGUUGGGAUGGUAUGAAGAAUGAUAUUGCGAACUAUGUCACCCGGUGUCUCACUUUUCAGCAAGUAAAGGCCGAGCAUCAACAACCUGCGGGGUUCAUGCAACAGCUUGAGAUUCCAGAAUGGAAGUGGGAACGAAUUACCAUGGACUUUGUGAGUAGAUUGCCACGAACUCCUAAAGCUUAUGACUCUAUAUGGGUGAUUGUAGAUCGACUUACGAUGUUGGCGUAUUUUUUGCCGGUUAAAACCAUAUACAAUGGCGUGCGUUAUGCACAAAUUUAUAUAGAUGAUAUUGUUCGACUUUAUGGAGUCCCGGUGUCUAUUAUUUCAGAUAGAGGGCCCCAUUUUACCUCGCACUUCUGUAAAGCAUUUCCGAGAGCACUAGGGACGCGUGUGGACUUGAGUCCUACGUUUCACCCGCAGACGGACGGGCAGUUCGAGCGGACUAUACAUACACCAGAAGAUAUGUUGAAAUCUUGUAUCCUUUAUUUUGGCGGCAUUUGGGACAAAUAUAUACCUUUGGUUGAGUUUGCAUAUAAUAAUAGCUUCCAAGCCAGUUUACAAAUGGCACCUUAUGAGGCGCUAUAUGAAAGAUGAUGUCGGUCUCCCAUCAGUUCGUUUGAGGCUGGAGAGGCAAGGGUAUUGGGUCCAGAUUUGGUACAAUUAGCACUUGAAAAAAUUUAAUUAAUCAGGCAGAGGUUGCUAGCAUCUCAAAGUAGACAAAAAGCUUAUGCGGACAAGAGACAUCGAGAAUUGGAAUUUUGGGUAGGAGAUCACGUUUUCUUACGGGUAUCACCGAUGAAAGGGGUUUUGAGAUUUGGGAACAAAGGGAAGUUGAGUCCAAGAUAUAUUGGACCAUAUGAGAUACUAGACAGAGUUGAUGCCGGGGCAUAUCGUUUAGCAUUUCCGUCAGACUUGUCUUCUGUACGUCAAGUAUUUCACGUAUCUAUGUUGUCAAAGUACAUGUCUGACCCGUCUCAUGUACUUGAGAUAUCGAAUAUUCAAUUAGAUGAAAUAUUGACUUACGAAGUGGAGCCAAUAGGCAUCAUUGAUAGGCAAGUGAGAAGGCUCCGGUCGAAAGACAUUACAACAGUAAAAGUUGUAUGGAAGAAUCAUACUAGUGAAGAGGCAACAUGGGAAGACGAGGAACUGAUGUGAGCCAAAUAUCCUCACUUGUUUGAAUCCAUAGGUAUGUAGAUAUUUAAAAUCGGGGACCGAAUUUUCGUAAGGGGGGAAGGAUGUAAUGACCCAACUAGUUGGGCUGGCCCAUUUAACUAAUCCAACUAUUAAGACAAUUAGCCUAACUGAAUUAAGCAAAAGAAGGAAAAUAAAAAGAGAAAAAGAUGGGCGAUUUGUGCAAGAAAAGAAAAAAAAGAAUAAAACCAGUAACUUGUUUAUCCAAAGCUGCUCAAUAGCAAUUUUUCUAAGGAAAAAAAAAAGAGAAACAUGAAGAAAGAGAGAUACGAAGAAGGAGAAGAAGGAGAUCAAGGAGGAACAAAUCCUAAAAGCCGAUUCCAACAUCAAAUAGAAGUUAUUAUCUCUAAAACCUUGAACCCAAGUAGGCAAGUAGUGUUGAAGAACACUCACUUUUCUCCCUUAUCGACUCUCACAAGUAAAUUUCUAGUAUACCUAUCUACCAAUGAACCCAUCCCUUUUUAUGAGUAAUUAGCAAUAAAAAGUUAGGGUUAAAGAUAUAGUAAUCUGAAAUUUAAUAGAGAAGUUCCAACUCUGGGGGAAAAGACUCGAAUCUUUGUAUCAAACUCGAAUUAAUCAAAGUACUUUCAUUUACCCCAACUCUAAUAUGAAUACAAGUUCUUUGUAGGAUAAGAGAAAAGUGAUAUCAAUUAUAAUUGAGCAUAAGCCUUCUCUGUUUUUUUAAAAAGAGAGAGGAAGAAGAAGAAGAAAAACUACAACUCGAACUACUAAAGAGAAUAGUGACUUAACUUAAUAGUUGAGCGGGUUUGGGAAGUCGUAAUUUUAUUACUAGAGAUGUUAAUUAAUCGAGUUGUAGGAAUAAUUAAUAUUCAAAUGUUCAUUAUGUUCUAGAUAAUUGAUACUACGACGACGUUCGAUCGUUUGAAGUAAAUUUGGGUUGUUCGACAAAAUAUACUAUGAGUGAUGACUCUUCCAUAGUUGAAUUUUAACAAUAGCAUAACUGGAACUAGUUUUCUUGCAUCAAAAAUAUUUUGACAAAAUCUAUUACUUGUAUAGGGACAAGCAACUUAUAUGUUGUUGUAUGUCAAAUGAUACGGUAAUACCAGAGAUUAUUUAUAAAUAAUAUGAUAUUAAACUAUGUUUAUUUACGAGUUUUCAUAUAUUUUGGGUUUAAUUCUUGUUAGAAAAAAGAAGAAGUGGGUAAAACUAUAUUUUGCUAUAAACAAAAGGGCUUUAGGAAAUCAAUGGCCAGAUCGUCAUUAUCUAACGUCGGGAUUGUUAGAUCUGGUGCACCUUGUAUGACAGACCUGUGUGUCUCACACAUAUACCCUCUAGAAGGGAACUCAGCUGACGGGGUUGUCAGAUGGCCAUGGUAAACUCAUGGAGUCAAAAAGUAUAUCGACUCUGGCUUAAGUAUCUGGCUUAAGUAUCUUUCAACAUAAAAAAGAGUAUAGAAAACAUGGAAUUGCGACUAUAGUUUCACUCACCUGUUUUAUAAAUCUAUACAGGAAUUGUUGUAUUAAUUUCAUUGGGUAUUAUUGAAGAGUUUGUGAGAUGGAAGAUUUCGGAUAUAAGCUUGUCCCAAAUAUUUGCUAUGGUUGAUGUUAUUACUCACUCAGUCGGUGUGACUGACCUUAUUACCCCUUCUUUUUUUUUUCCUUUCCAUCACAAAUAAUUUAGUUGAAGCUGACACUUUGACCAUGUAGAGUGAUAGACAGAGCUGACGAUGGAUCCAGUAAGCUCGGCACUUGCUUCGCCUGGGCUUUCAGUUUGUUAGACUACUUUAACAUGUUAUUUUGUUAAAUUUCUAGAGUUUUGCUCCUUAA